rnacentral:rRNA from 1 species
GAGUUUGAUCUUGGCUCAGGAUGAACGCUAGCGGCAGGCUUAAUACAUGCAAGUCGAGGGGCAGCAUGGUGUAGCAAUACACUGAUGGCGACCGGCAAACGGGUGCGGAACACGUACGCAACCUACCCAAAACUGGUGAAUAGCCCUCCGAAAGGAGGAUUAAUACACCGUAACUUAAUGAAGUGGCAUCACUUUAUUAAUAUAGCUCCGGCGGUUUUGGAUGGGCGUGCGCCUGAUUAGGUAGUUGGUGUGGGUAACGGCCCACCAAGCCUACGAUCAGUAACUGGUGUGAGAGCACGACCAGUCACACGGGCACUGAGACACGGGCCCGACUCCUACGGGAGGCAGCAGUAAGGAAUAUUGGUCAAUGGACGCAAGUCUGAACCAGCCAUGCCGCGUGAAGGAUGAAGGUCCUCUGGAUUGUAAACUUCUUUUAUAUGGGACGAAACCUCUUAUUCUUAAGAGACUGACGGUACCAUAGGAAUAAGCACCGGCUAACUCCGUGCCAGCCGCCGCAGUAA